AUUUCUUCCGUUGUAAAAACAAGGUGGUUAGGUAAAACUUGAGGGUUGUUACCCUCAGUCCACGGGCUGGCAGGGGACAAGAGGGAAAUGUGAGGUCACACCACUAAUUAGUGGCUGAGCCAAACCCAGAAGUUAGGUUUCCAGUCCCUCCCAUUGGAGCCUUUGCUGCUCAGAGCAGUGCAGGAAAGCCAUUCUAGAAGAGAUUUAGAUUUAUUUCUCAGUUGACCUGGCUCCACCAUGAGUAUUUAAAGAAAGCCACCUGAUAUGUAAUUGGAGUCAGGAGUAUCAGCCACUGCCUGGGUUGAUGAUUUUGUUAGCAGCUGGUGGACAGACAUGGAAUUCCUGCAGGAAAUGACUCCCAGCAGCUCUGAGUAGACAGUUCUCCAGACCUUCCCAAGGACACAGCCAGUGAGCUGAUAGCAGAGCUGGGUCCAGAGCCCAGCCGGGAACUCCUCCUGAUACCAGGACACUGUGCCUACUCCCAGGGAGAGCUGCACAAGAGAAACUCUCCAGUCUGUUGCCUUUUCCAGAAAUGCCCAGGACAAUUCGAUACUCACUUGGGACCAAGGUGUUUCCCCAAAGCCUCAUGUGGGCACAGGUUUGUAGCCUGGAUGGAAUAGAAAGGGAAAGGCAGGCCCACUGCUUGCUUUGUGCUGCUUCCUGCCUGCCUUACUGUACAUGGACCGUUUCUCUUCUUGGAUGCCUGCUGCCACUCCACCCUGCCUUGGUGCCUGCUGACUGUGGACUGAAACCUCUACAAACUGGAUCGAACUGAAGACCUGCUCUUGGCAGGCAGACGCGCGGCACCACUGAGCUCCAUCCCUGGCCCCGUGACGUCCUCCUCUGAAUCGCACUGCAUUCCCGGUGUGCUUUUGGAAUCGCUCUUGCCCGGCAGCCCUACAGCUCACCUGCUGACCCCAUGGUGCUCCCUCCACUUCACCAUGGAAACCAGGCGUCCCAGAGAGGCUGGGGACUUGCCCAGAGUCACUCGCUGACUAGUGGCCCUGGAACUCUGACCAAGAUGACCUCACUGCUUCAUUUGUGCCUUCUUGGGGCACGCAUCUCACUCCACUUUCUGCUGUAGUUAUUUUUUUGGGUUUAUUUUAUUUGUUUGUAUGCCAACUCUUAGGGAGUCUUUUCUUUUUAGCCGCUGGCACCAAGCUUCUAGUUUGGAAUUUUGGCGACAGUCUCGAUUUCAAAUAGUUUAUGCUACUAUACAGAUAAGUACUCGUGACUUAAUUUUCGUAAUGUGUGGUCAGUUGUCAUAAAUGUUCAGAACGCUUCAGGCAGUAAAUAACUAUCUGUGUAGUGAAUUGAACGAUAGGGGCAAACAAGGCUCAUUUAAGAUGUGAGUGUGUGUAUAGACAUGUGUGCAUGAGAGAGAUUGAAACCCCCAAGUAAUACAUAAUACUUUGUUAAACUAACAAACACAGAUUUCAAGUGGUGACCAAGUACUUGCGCCUGUGUAUAUUUUGGUACCGGGGAACGAACUUGGGUCCUUGCGCUUGCGCAGCAGGCGGUGAAACCACUGAGCCAAAUCCCCGGCCCCCAAGGCCUGUGUAUAUUUUGAAGGAACCAUGUGACACAGAAUAAGAAAUAACAGCUUUCGGCAUCAUUUCAUUUCCAACAUCACAACAGAGAGAGAAAUCUGACUGCGCUGUAACUUCUUCUGUGAAUGGUCUGCAACUGUUUUCUCUUGCCGUAAAACUGUCGCUCUGCCAACUUUCCUUCUGCUUCAUUCUCAUGCUGUAAUUUCAGACUUAGUGCAGCUGCUGAUUUGUGAGAAUUGCUAAUUACCAUAUUUUCUAUUAAUCUCUAGCAUGACCCUCUAGCCCAGCUUCUGUUGGGAGGUACAACUUUUCCCAGGCAUCUAGAAAUUGGAAAUUAGAGAUCUGAAGGUAUUUCUGUGGUCACUUGUAACAUCAAUUACCUUUUAGACUCUUACGUGUGUGGAAGCACUUUGAGAACUCCCCGAAAGGGUAGCACUUCCCAAAUCACCUGCCUGGAGGAGCAAGGGUUAAUUCCACAGGCGGAAGGCGAAUCCUUAAGAACUGGAGACAGAAUGAGGUGCUGCCUUCAUUAUGACCCAUCCUCAACUUUGAUUCCAUUUCAUUCUAGAGUUCAGAGCUCAGCUUUUGCCAUUAAAUCUCAACCUACGUCACCUUUAAAUGCCAGGUAAGAGCUAGCCACCUUUGGAGGAUACUGACAUUGGCCUUCGGGUCAUGUUUCUUCUUACCCUUCCAUCGUAUUCACUGUUUAAACUAAAC
rnacentral:lncRNA from 1 species